AAUAACCCCCUAAAUUUGCAAUUAAAUUUCCCACCACUAAUAUUUAAACAAUAAAUUAAAAUUAACCUCUUAAAUUUGCGUCUAUAUUACCCACAUAUGUCAUUAUUAAAAAUAACAUGGGGUAACUCUAAAUUUGAAUCAAAAUCAUCAUCAUUAAAAAUAUAAUGCAAUGUACGUUAAUAUAUGGUUCUAAAUUGCAUAUUUUUUGCACUAAUAGUAUAUAAUAUAAUAAUAAGAUAGUCAACAUUUAUAAAUAAAUAAAGGAAGUGACAAGGAUGUAGAUUUUUAUGUUAAAAUUGUAGCUUAAACUUUAGGUUUGUUAAACAAAUUCAAACACACAACUACGAUGCAAAGUGAAAAGUUAAAGAUUAUAAAUGUGGAUGAAAAAUUAUACGUAAUUACUAACUAAAAUAUAUCAUAAUCGAAUGAAAAUAAUAAAUAUAUAUUUAUAUAAGUAUUGUGUUAGAAUACUUAAUAAAUAAGAGGUAACUCAAGCCUCUAUGUAACAGUUUUGUAGCAAUGUGGCCUCAUUUUUUAAUUGGAGACUCCACAUUAUUAAUUCUCAUGAGAUAUGCUAGAAAAAAAUAUAAACUCUAGAAUUUCUUACAAAAAGCAGAAACUUCGAACAUCGAUCAUGUAAACUCUAAUAAUCAUAGUUAAUAAUCUAUUAUAUUUUCUAUAAUGUUACCCAACACUAUCAUUCUAAACCUAUAUCUAAAUUACCUAGCUCUACCAUAAUAAAAAAUAAUCUAAAAAUAACCACAUAAUCUUCAUCUAAUUUACCCAUGCAUAUCAUUACAAAACACAACAUCAAAUACUAUUCCAGAUUUGUAUCUAAGUUAUGUCAUUACUAAAAAUAACCUAAAAUAAAAACCUAAAUCUUAAUCUAAUUAUAUAUGUGUUCAUCGUACAUAAAUGUCCAAAAGUAAACUAAUAUAUGAAUUUGAAUUACGUAUUUGUGUCAUUGUUAAUAUAGAAAUACUAAGUUAAGCUAUCUACACAUGGUGGGUGUCACCAUGUAAACUAUUUUUAAUGUAUGUGACGAAGCGAUGAAAAAUAUUAAUUUUAAUGCUAAACACAAUAUAUGAUGGUGCAAUACAAAAUGAAAAAAAUGUGAACGUGGAUUGAAAAAAGUGUAGAGUAAUUACUAAUUAAAAAUCAAUCACAACUAUUAAUAUAAGUACACAUAUCUAUAUGAGUAUUGAGUUACAAUAUUAAAUAAAUAAGAGAGUAGUAAGAGCCUAAUUUCUAAAUAAUUUUCAAAUAUAAUAGUUUUUAAAAAUAUUAGCUCGUGCGGGAGCACGGGUUGAUGGAUCUGUUUGAAAUGGUUGUCCUAACGCAGGUGGUGCUUGGAAUAAGCUAGAGUUCUGUCUUGGUGUUUGUUUGUUCAAGGAGUACAGGAUUGUCAUGCAAGGGGCUAAGAUCCCUUAUCAUCCAAACAUGCGGGAAGUUUGGAAGGAGCGUAAUACAUGAUUUUCGAUCAUGUGGAGGUACCUUGCUUUGUGGUCAUAAAAGAGUGAGGCAUCGAAUUGGAUUAUGGCAGGGGCGAAGCACCUGGCUUACUGGGACGAGUUUGAGUUGAGUUGCUUUGUGUCUUCUUUUGAGAUGCGGCUGCUCUCCAGCUGUAAAUGGCAGAGUCGUUUGUAGUUGCCGACCUCUUGGGUCGUUCCCUCUUUUUCAAUAUAACAUCUUCAAAAAAUGGUUUGUGGUAGAUGCUUGUGAUCCGGUCUUGUUUAUUGAAAUGAUCAUUCCUAUGCUCUUGUCUUGGGAACUUAUGAUAAUGAACUCUGUUAGGUGCUUGGAGAGGA